CAGCCCCUCAAGUGGUCAGGAUGAUUAUUUGGCCUAAAGCGUCCGUAGCCGGCCAUGUAAGUCUCCCGUUAAAUCCAGCGUCUCAAGCGUUGGACUGCGGGAGAUACUGCAGGGCUAGAGAGUGGGAGAGGUCAGCGGUAUUCUGGGGGUAGGGGCGAAAUCCUUUGAUCCCCGGAGGACCACCAGUGGCGAAGGCUGCUGACUAGAACACGUCUGACGGUCAGGGACGAAAGCUGGGGUAGCGAACCGGAUUAGAUACCCGAGUAGUCC
rnacentral:rRNA from 1 species